rnacentral:rRNA from 1 species
UACGUAGGGUGCGAGCGUUAAUCGGAAUUACUGGGCGUAAAGGGUGCGCAGGCGGCGUCGCAAGUCAGGCGUGAAAUCCCCGGGCUUAACCUGGGAACUGCACUUGAAACUACGAUGCUGGAGUAUGGCAGAGGGAGGUGGAAUUCCACGUGUAGCAGUGAAAUGCGUAGAGAUGCGGAGGAACACCGAUGGCGAAGGCAGCCCCCUGGGCUAGCACUGACGCUCAGGCACGAAAGCGUGGGGAGCAAACAGG